UACGUAGGGGGCAAGCGUUGUCCGGAAUCAUUGGGCGUAAAGCGCGUGUAGGCGGCCCGGUAAGUCCGCUGUGAAAGUCGGGGGCUCAACCCUCGAAUGCCGGUGGAUACUGUCGGGCUAGAGUGCGGAAGAGGCGAGUGGAAUUCCUGGUGUAGCGGUGAAAUGCGUAGAUAUCUGGAGGAAUACCGGUGGCGAAGGCGGCAUCCUGGACCGGCAUUGACGCUGAGGAGCGAAAGCUAGGGGAGCAAACGGG
rnacentral:rRNA from 1 species